rnacentral:rRNA from 1 species
GACGAACGCUGGCGGCGUGCUUAAUACAUGCAAGUCGUACGGUAAGGCCCUUUCCUUGUUACACGAGUGUCGACCGCGUAAGUAACACUUGCGUAUGCUGCCCCCACCUUUGGGCUAACGCUAGCAAACUGGUGCUAAUACUGAUUCUGUGUACCUGCUGUAUGCUGGGGGUUUGAGAGCUCCGGCGGUUGUUGCUUGACUCGCGGCGUAUCCGCUUGUUGGUGGGGUAGUUGCCUACCAAGGCGGCGACGGGUAGCCGGCCUGAGAGGGUGACCGGCCACAAAGGGACUGAGAGACGGCCCAGACGGGUACGGGAGGCAGCAGUGGGGAAUAUUGCACAAUGGGCGCAAGCCUGAUGCAGCAACGCCGCGUGCGGGAUGACGGCCUUCGGGUUGUAAACCGCGUUCAGAAGGGACGAAGCAUUUUGUGACGGUACCUGCAGAGGAAGCACCGGCUAACUACGUG